rnacentral:tRNA from 1 species
GCCCCGGUAGCUCAGUCGGAUAGAGCAAUCGCCUCCUAAGCGAUAGGUCGCAGGUUCGAGUCCUGCCCGGGGCACCA